rnacentral:rRNA from 1 species
AGGAUUAACGCUGGCGGCGUGCCUAACACAUGCAAGUCGAACGAGGUAGCAAUACCUAGUGGCAGACGGGUGAGUAACGCGUGGUCAACCUACCGUUGAGUGGGGGAUAACUAGCCGAAAGGUUAGCUAAUACCGCAUACGAGUCUCGGGGGCAUCCCUGGGCCUUAAAAGGAGCAAUCCGCUCGAUGACGGGACCGCGUCCCAUUAGCUAGAUGGUGGGGUAAUGGCCUACCAUGGCUCCGAUGGGUAGCUGGUUUGAGAGAGCGACCAGCCACACUGGGACUGAGAAACGGCCCAGACUCCUACGGGAGGCAGCAGUGAGGAAUUUUCCGCAAUGGGCGAAAGCCUGACGGAGCGACGCCGCGUGUGGGAAGAAGGCCUUCGGGUCGUAAACCACUGUCGAAGGGGACGAUAAUGACGGUACCCUUGGAGGAAGCCCGGCUAACUACGUGCCAGCAGCCGC